rnacentral:lncRNA from 1 species
AUGGCCCUGCAGGAAUGGCUGCAGCACCCCGACCAAGGCCUGCUCAUGCAGCCCAAACAAACACAGCCAAGCAACAACGUUGGCUUCCAGCAUGUCCUGCUGCCACCAGGCAGCCCCGAACAACUCCCUUGCUUGCUGGCGCACCCAGGGCCUCAAUGGGCUGAUGAUAGUUGGGUGGUCCCUGAAGAGGGCCGCCCAUUGCUCAGGCAGGAGGCCGCUCACAACAGGCUGGGGCACCGGCACUGCAGCCUCCUGCUCAUCCUGUUGGUUGUAAUUUUGUGGCUCUGCACGGUGGAUGAUCUGCACCUCCAUAAAGUCAUCUUCUGCCCAGAUGGAGUAGAGUACGGAGGUGAUCUUCUGCCUGCAGAGGGGGCAGGUGGCAUUUCUCGCGGCCCAGCGCAUGAUGCAUCCCAAGCAGAACUGGUGCUGGCAGGGGAUGACGACGCUGGGCUCCUUUGUGGUCCCCUGGCACACAGGGCAGGUGACAUCAGCCUCUGUGGCCAUCGUGCUGUCUCGCUGCAGCGGGCUGGGGAGAGCUGUGGAUGGGGACCUGCUUCCCCUCGCUGGCGCCGCUGCGACAGGUGCUGCUCGCUGCAAGGAGAGAGGCCAGGUAACUGAAAGAUCUUCAGAUGGAGAAAAAUGGAGUCACAUUCCAAAGAGGUUUGGGCUCCAGAAAUUAACACCCCUGGAAGACCUUUCCCGUGUUUAGAAAGAAGAGCUACUGCAAGAUGAUGGGAAUGAAUUUCCUAAGCUUUUCUCUGUGCUUUCAGACUAUUUAUUUAUUUAUUUACUUUUAGUUUACUAGAGGAACUCCCCCUGUGCUGGAAAAAAAGAGUUGUAUGUGCUGUAAGACAUAGAUCACUUGCCCCUAGAUCUCAUAAAAAUGGCAUUAAAAUCUUUCAAAAAGUUUUUCUUUCACAGUUCUUCAGUUAACGUUAGGCCAAUACUUCCCAUGAAGUACUUCAGAGGGAGGCAAUCAUAGCAGCCCAUUAGUGGCCUGCUGACAUACACUUAUAUUCAUAAGAAAAUACUUUCAUUCAUGGUCCAUUUUAGGACUAAAUUGAACAGAUGCCAUCAGUACCUCUACUUCUAUAGCUUUAUGAAAUAAUACAUAAACUUAAAAAAAAAAAAUCAUUCAUUGAGUAUUUUUUUAAAUUAAUGUCUGAGCUAGCAUAUUUAUAGCAUUCCAUAAAUAAAAAUGACCAUGAAAUAAAAAUAAACA